rnacentral:rRNA from 1 species
GACGAACGCUGGCGGCGUGCUUAACACAUGCAAGUCGAACGGAAAGGCCCUUCGGGGUCCUCGAGUGGCGAACGGGUGAGUAACACGUGGGUGAUCUGCCCUGCACUUUGGGAUAAGCCUGGGAAACUGGGUCUAAUACCGAAUAGGACCACGCGCUUCAUGGUGUGUGGUGGCAAGCUUUUGCGGUGUGCGAUGGGCCCGCGGCCUAUCAGCUUGUUGGUGGGGUAAUGGCCUACCAAGGCGACGACGGGUAGCCGGCCUGAGAGGGUGACCGGCCACACUGGGACUGAGAUACGGCCCAGACUCCUACGGGAGGCAGCAGUGGGGAAUAUUGCACAAUGGGCGCAAGCCUGAUGCAGCGACGCCGCGUGAGGGAUGACGGCCUUCGGGUUGUAAACCUCUUUCACCAGGGACGAAGCGUAAGUGACGGUACCUGGAGAAGAAGCACCGGCCAACUACGUG